UACGUAGGGCGCAAGCGUUGUCCGGAAUCAUUGGGCGUAAAGAGCUCGUAGGCGGUCUGUCACGUCGGCUGUGAAAACUCGAGGCUCAACCUCGAGACGUCGGUUGAAACCAUCUGGCUAGAGUCCGGAAGAGGAGUGUGGAAUUCCCGGUGUAGCGGUGAAAUGCGCAGAUAUCGGGAAGAACACCCGUGGCGAAGGCGGCACUCUGGGACGGUACUGACGCUGAGACGCGAAAGCGUGGGGAGCGAACAGG
rnacentral:rRNA from 1 species